rnacentral:lncRNA from 1 species
CAACUGGUAUAUCGAACAUGGCAGCUACACCUGAGACAAGUUGGAGUUGAAGCUCGGCCAGAUUUGGUUCAGAGCAUCCCAAAAGGUGGCACCGGUGGGAGCCCUAGCAAAGAAAGUGACAAAAAGAAGGAUCCAGAUGACCAACCUAAAGAUAAUGGAGGCAACCCUGAAAGUACAUCUGAAGAAAGCCAGUUACCUCCUAGUUCAGAAAUUCACAGCCUUGAUGAUCAGCUCCUUAGCGAUGCAAAAAUAUGUUCCAUGGGUCAUAAAGAUGCAAUUAUUUUGAUGCAGUCUCAAUACACUGUAGUCAAUAGAAUCCUUCAAUC